CGCCUAGUAUCAUUAAUCGCUAUGGAAUCUUUAACAGAAACAUGCAUGCUGAUGACAAUGUAGCCAUUUCUGGACCACAGUUUGAGUUGUGCAUUGAUAUGGUUUGGCUUUGUGUUCCCACCCCAUCUCAUCUUGAAUUAUAAUCUCAUAAUCCACAUGUGUAGUGAGAGGGACCAAAUGGGAGGUAAUUGAAUCAUGGGGGUGGUUCCCACCAUGCUGUUCUCGUGAGAGUGAGUGAGUUCUCGUGAGAUCCAAAGGAUUUAUAAGCAUCUGGCCUUUCCCUUGCUGGUACUCAGUCUCUCUUCUGCUGCCCUGUGAGGGGGUGUCUUCUGCCAUGAUUGUAAGUUUCUUGCGGUCUCUCCAGCCAUGUGGAACUAUAGAGUCUCGGUCUGUCACCCAGGCUGGAGUGAAAUGGCAUGAUCUCGGCUCACUGCAACCUCUGCCUCCCUGGUUCAAGGGAUUCUCCUGCCUCAGCCUCCCGAGUAGCUGGGUUUACAGAUGGAUGUCUGUUGUUAACACAAGUAAUUCCCAACCCCAAGUGGCUCAGUAUGAGAUGAAAAUCCAGAGAUGAAUCAGCUGUUCCAGUGCACAUGCCGUGGAAAGGCAAGACCCAAGAAACUUGGCAGUUACUUUGGACAGAACACGUGCACUUUAUUGAACACAACUGUGGAAAAGUGUGUGAGGACUUCACAGAGUGGGCGAACGCUGUGAAGCCCAGGCAGCAGGAGUUCAUGAAGACGGUGUUGAACAGGGACCAGACGACGUGGUCGGGCAUGGAGGCCUCGCUUCGGAUGUGGAUCACGGUGGAUGUCGGGGGCGCAGGGUUGUGGUGCGCCCCCAGUGCAGCCAGCUCAUGUUCCUCCUUCAGCAUCUCAUAGUUCGGGGGAUGGUUGGUGCUGGCGGGAGUGAAGAAGGUUUGGACGGUGUGGUUCAUGGUGUCCAAGGAAGACCGGCCGUGGUCGGGUUGCUGGGAUGCUUCUCAGUGGUCCCUCCCGUUCCUCAUUCACAUUGUUUUAUAUAACAGCUUAAUUGGGAUUAUUUCAAACACCAUAAAAUUCACCCGUUUAAGGUAUAUAAUUGAAUGGUUUUUGGUGUAUUCUUAGAAUUGUGCAAUCAUCACCAACAUUUGCUUUAGAAUAUUUUCAUCGCCUCCUUCCAAAGAACCUGUGCCCAUUCAUAGUCACUCCUCAUAUCCCUCUGGCCCCAAACCUUGGCAAUAACUAAAUUACUUGCUGUCUCUAUAGAUUUGCCUAUUCUGGAAAUUUUACAUAAGCAAAGUUGUAAAAUAUGUGGUCUUUUAUCUGUUUUGUUUUGUUUUUUGACAUAGCAAAUUAUUUCAAGGUGCAUCCAUGUUGUAGCAUGUGUCAAUACUUCAUUAUGUAUUAUUACUGAGUAAUAUUCCAUCGAAUGGGUGUACCAUGUUGAUUUUAAUACAUUAAUCGGUUUUCCCCACUUUUUGGCUAUUUUGAAUAAUGAAGCUGUGAACAUGCCUUUACGAGUUUCUUAAGGCUUAUAUUGAUUUUCAGAUUUUGAUUCUCCCCGAAUCUAUACACAUUCAAAAUCAGCCUUUAGGUAUGUUUCCUUUCUCAUGUACUCUUUGAAUCAAAUACAGCCUUUGAUACAUUUAUAUUCUCAAACACAUCAUUUUCUUGGCAAUUCACGUUAGUUUCAUUACAGUUUAACUACACUAUGUAAAAGUGAGUUACCGUCUCAUUUUCUGUUUUCUACACUUCUAAUGCAGCAAAAAGAUAAGACUGUCUUGAUCUCUCUCUUUAUUUCCUUUCUUUCCUUUCCCCCUCUCUCUCUCCCUUUUUAUCUCUGUCUCUGUCUCUCUCUCUUUCUGUUUCUCUGUGACCUCUUUCCACCCCCAUCAUAUACACAUUCUUUAGCUUUUAGUUCUCUGCUUUGUGCUGCUGUCAUUUGCAGUGCAAGUUAGGGGCUCUCUCUAAUUCAAAUGUACGGUAGCCAUUUCUCUUUUCUUAUCUUUUAUUUUUUUCUUUGAGAUAGAGUCUCAUUCUGUCACCCAGACUGGAAUACAAUGGCUUGAUCUUGGCUCACUGAAACUAUUUGAAAAAUCAUAUAUUAAUGGAAAAGAUUUUCCAUUAAUAUAUGAUUUUUCCCAGGUUUAAGGGAUUCUGCUGCCUCAUCCCCCAGAAUUGCUGGAACUACAAAUGUGCACCACCAUGCCUGGCUAAUUUUUUUUGUGUGUGUAUUUUUAGUAAAGACAGGGCUUCACCAUACUGGCUAUGCUGGUCUUGAACUCCUGAGCUCAAGUGACCCGCCUGUCUCAGGCUCCCAACGUGUUGGUAUUACAGUCAUGAGCCACUGCACCUGUCCAGCCAUUUCUAACUCAUUGAUUAACUCUCCAGUGUAAGAGGGCAUAUUUAUCUUCUCAGAGGAAAGCAUAUCAUUCCAGAGGUUUGCUCUGGGGGAGAGGAUGGUCCCUGCUGUGUUUCAUGUAUCUCCUGGUGACAGCUGCUUUACUGCUGCACAUCACUAGCCUAGUGCUCCCCAACAGCUGCUGGGAGAAGUCCUUCAGGUAUUACCUGUUUUUUGCCUCCUCCUUCUAUCACAUCUCUCCUGCCCCUCUCUUUCAGCAAACACCUAAAAUCGUAUUUACUUAGCAUACUUCUCUUUCAAGUGGACAAUCUGUUGCUGAAUGGUUUUGAAACUAUUUUGCUGGGGAAAACAAAACAAAAGGAAAAACAAAAUAAAAAACAUGUACCCAUCGCUGUUAAACCA
rnacentral:lncRNA from 13 species